UCCACUGAUAAAGCACUAACAAGAAUUAGUGCUUUAUCCUCCAAGAGGCUGGGGUGAGUGACAGGGAUGUACCCACCUCAAAGGUUGGAAUUUUGGGCGGCUGUGAAACUUCCUGUUUGAAAAAUGAGCCUUCUCCAGAGAGCAGAAUCAAAACCAUCUAGGACUUCUUGAAUUCAAAAGAAGCUCCAACAUAAUAGGCAUCUUUGACAUGGACUAGCGUGCUAUUUAUGCCAUUGGCAGCUUUUAAAUCACUUUCAGCGGUCUGCAAGAGAAAGAACUUGGGUCUAAAGUGUGCAUUUCUAUGCCAGAACAGAUUAUAAUGGCAAUGUCAGGACUUGGUGGAGGAACAGUUAAGAGACAAGAAGAGACUUUAUUGGCAAAAGUAAGUUCUAGUAGCAGUGGCAUUAUCUGUGUCCUCCCAGCUCCUGCUGUUCCUGAGGGCAAGGUCGUUGUUAAGCAAUGACAGAGUUGGACAGGCAGAUUCUGAAGCUGUUAGCACUGCUGGACAUGGGAAGUUCACAACUGAGGCUGUGUCCACUCCAAGGCAAGGAUAAACAGAUGAAUGAAUCCAGCAGUGAACCACCCAGUGCUAUGUCUGGUCAACAUCUGAAGAAACCUUUGAAUGUUUGAGUUCCCUGAGUGGCACAUCCUUUCCAGUUUUGUCCAGCAGACACAGGCUCCUCUGAGGAGCACUUCCUCUAAACAGAAGCCAGAAGGCUGUAUGACUUGCAUGAUUCAUAAAAAAUGCCCUAUGUGGACCCUCUGACCUUACCACCCCACCAGGGCGCACAUUUAUAGCCCUUGCACAACAAACAUCAAGAAACAAGGUCUCAAAGGAAUCCUUCUGUAAGGUAGAUUGUAUUGCCUGUCUGGUUUUCAAAACGUCUAAGAAAACGGUGCAACAAGAAAGAACGUUGAAACGUUGAACGGCUGAAAGUUCUUUUAUGUGUGUCUUUAUUGAACAGAUUUGCUUUUAUUUUGAAUUCUUGUAUAGAUUGUUUAUAUUACAGAGGUACAAAAAUUUUUUUUAAUGAUGUGUCAGUGCAUUAAGAGUAAAGCUGUUUUUGUGAAGCUAUCCCACCUGGUGUCGAGAGAAGGAAUAAGAUCUCCUUUACCCUUCCCAGGAACUUCAUACCAGACAGCUGCUGACGCAAGAGCAGUUAUCCAGCUUUAUGCUGGAGCAGACUCAAAUUCAAGGUAUCCCUCAGAGAAGGGAGAUCCCAUGGUUAGACCUAGGAGUUCUGUUCUUCCCCAGCAUCCAAUGUGAUCUUGUUAGAAUUCUUAGUGCCAGAUUCCCAUAUGCUCUUUAGGCAAAGUCCCAUGGGUUUCAGUUUUAUUGGAAUGGGGAAGAAGAUAUCCAUAGCUUUUGUGCUAGAGGUUUGCAAAAAUGGAGAUAACCACCUCCCAGUCAAGGGACAUGGAUGAAAGUGAUGCAGUCCAGUACUGCAGAAAUACUAAAUAAUUGAGCUAGGUUA